rnacentral:pre_miRNA from 1 species
UUAUAAUAAUGAUGAUGAUGAAGAUGGUGACGACGACGACGAUGAUGAAGACAAGCAGUUUUAUUCUGGAGAAGCCAAGAAGAAAAAAUUUUAAGACUGAGUUGAUGACCAAAAGAUAAUUUUAUGAUAAUCAAAAUUGCAGUCAUCGUCGUCGUCAUCAUCAUCAUCAUCAUCAUCGUCA